UACGUAGGGGGCAAGCGUUGUCCGGAAUCAUUGGGCGUAAAGCGCGCGUAGGCGGCCCGGUAAGUCCGUUGUGAAAGUCAAAGGCUCAACCUUUUGAACGCCGAUGGAUACUGCCGGGCUAGAGUCCGGAAGAGGCGAGUGGAAUUCCUGGUGUAGCGGUGGAAUGCGCAGAUAUCAGGAGGAACACCAAUAGCGAAGGCAGCUCGCUGGGACGGUACUGACGCUGAGGCGCGAAAGCGUGGGGAGCGAACAGG
rnacentral:rRNA from 1 species